GUCCCGCCUGCCCAGUGUUCAGACUACCUGUUCAGGAAUUAGUGUUUGUACAGUAGUCUGCACAUUGGUUAGGCUGG
rnacentral:pre_miRNA from 1 species